CCCUCUUCACCCCACGGUCCCCUCCAUUGUUCCCCUUCCCCUCCAUUGUUCCCCUUCCCCUUCGCCUCCAUCAGUCUCGAAAAUUGCUCCAAACGCAAGUUGCCAUGGCAAGCCUGGCGAAGCCUAGUCCAGAUUUGAGCUACUUGCAGAUUUAAAGGGUACAAAAAAAACAAAAGCAGGAUGGAACAAGGAAACAGAGGGAAUCCCUGGUUCUACGGCUCACUACAAGUACCCCCGUGGAGUGCACGGGAUUACGAGGAACUAAACUCGAAUGGACCUUUGCUGCACUCCUGCAGCAGUACAUGGACAUAGGUGGAAUCGACACAUCCGCAUCUGCCACGAUGUGCUGACCAAAAGAACAAGGAAUGCCUAGUGGCAGCACACACACAAUACAACAACAAUAGCUGCCAAGGGCAAUAUGUGGUGAGCUGGAAAUUUUAAGAAGAAUACAUAUCCUUAGUUAAAAAAUGAAAGUUUUGCAAACACGAAAACUUAUGGUUGAUAAAAAAAUGCAGGAGCAAAAGAUGAUGUCGUGGAAAGGACAGGGAUGGCAGUGACGCCUACAUCGUGGUACGCAGGUGAGGAUUCUUGUAGCUUAAGUAACGUGCCAUGUGACUGUGACUACACUUGUCAUGACUGGGCCAAAAAAAGCUGAAUUAGAAUUUAGUUCCAGAAAAAAAGAAAUAAAAAUGAAUGUUCCUCGAUGGAACUUGCCAUGUGUUAGUGAUACAACUCAUUGUAGGCAUUAUAUUGAAAUUGAAAAAAAAUGAGAAUUAUGGGAGAACUUGCA